rnacentral:lncRNA from 1 species
AUAAAAAAUAGUAUUCUUAUAUAAAUUGAAACAUCCAUGUCCAAACAUAAAAUCAAAUCCAGAAACAUCAAGUCUUGAAAGGGAAAUCAAAUUCCUAGAAACUGAAGGAACAUAAAGAGUCUGUAAUAGAUCAAGGUGAUGUCCAGUCUCCAAGAUCAAUCGAUAAGUCCCUAUGCCUUCAAUUUGAGCCUUCAUGCGAUUUCCCAUAAAUACGAAAUCCUUAUUUGGAUUUGUAGUUUUGAUCGUAGUGAAUCCCUGCAACAUAGUGGAUACAUGAGUAGUUGGACUAGAAUCAAGCCACCAAGUAUUAUUAGGAACUUCUACUAAAUUUGAUUCGAAACAUACAAAAGCACUAAAUGUACCUUUCUUUUCAAACCAAG